rnacentral:rRNA from 1 species
UAGGGAAUCUUCGGCAAUGGGGGGAACCCUGACCGAGCAACGCCGCGUGAGUGAAGAAGGUUUUCGGAUCGUAAAGCUCUGUUGUUAAGGAAGAACGAGUGUGAGAAUGGAAAGUUCAUGCUGUGACGGUACUUAACCAGAAAGGGACGGCUAACUACGUGCCAGCAGCCGCGGUAAUACGUAGGUCCCGAGCGUUGUCCGGAUUUAUUGGGCGUAAAGCGAGCGCAGGCGGUUAGAUAAGUCUGAAGUUAAAGGCAGUGGCUCAACCAUUGUAGGCUUUGGAAACUGUUUAACUUGAGUGCAGAAGGGGAGAGUGGAAUUCCAUGUGUAGCGGUGAAAUGCGUAGAUAUAUGGAGGAACACCGGUGGCGAAAGCGACUCUCUGGUCUGUAACUGACGCUGAGGCUCGAAAGCGUGGGUAGCAAACAGG